UCGGGUUGUAAAGCACUUUUGUCCGGAAAGAAAACUUCUGCCCUUAAUACGGCGGGAGGAUGACGGUACCGGAAGAAUAAGCACCGGCAACUACGUGCCAGCAGCCGCGGUAAUACGUAGGGUGCGAGCGUUAAUCGGAAUUACUGGGCGUAAAGCGUGCGCAGGCGGUUCGUUAAGACAGAUGUGAAAUCCCCGGGCUUAACCUGGGAACUGCAUUUGUGACUGGCGAGCUAGAGUAUGGCAGAGGGGGGUAGAAUUCCACGUGUAGCAGUGAAAUGCGUAGAGAUGUGGAGGAAUACCGAUGGCGAAGGCAGCCCCCUGGGCCAAUACUGACGCUCAUGCACGAAAGCGUGGGGAGCAAACAGGAUUAGAUACCCUGGUAGUCCACGCCCUAAACGAUGUCAACUAGUUGUUGGGUCUUCAUUGACUUAGUAACGUAGCUAACGCGUGAAGUUGACCGCCUGGGGAGUACGGUCGCAAGAUUAAAACUCAAAGGAAUUGACGGGGACCCGCACAAGCGGUGGAUGAUGUGGAUUAAUUCGAUGCAACGCGAAAAACCUUACCUACCCUUGACAUGGUCGGAACCCUGCUG
rnacentral:rRNA from 1 species